GAAAACCACACCUUAUUCUUAGACUUGUGUGGGCAUCUUAUGAUUCGAUUCAUUUCUAAUCAGUGCCUUUUGCUCCACUGGGCAAUUCCUAAUACAAAAAACUACAUAAAUAUUUGUUGGUGGAGUGAUUCUACACAUUUGCAAUCAUGCAGGAGAUUGAGGUUCAUGGCAACUAUUUUUCUCAGAGGCUUAGAAACAAAAGUUGGAGUCUGGUUCAAAUUGAAGGCUGAUUCUAGACUGGCAUAGUGCUGCGACAUACAUGAGCAAUUCAGUCUUAAAAACAUUAGGUGGAGCAGAGCCAGACAGGAAUCAACAAAGGGACUGACUUGCAUGAGGUGUCAAACCCAGGAAGAAUGAGAAAGGCAACCACAUUGGCACGUGGUGUCAAUGGGAGAAGGGUGAGGAGGGCAUCCACACAGGAAAAGGGAGCUAGAAUGAGAUGUCAGCUCCCAAGUGGUGUGAGAAAGGCCCCCACACAGAGGGAGCCUGGCAUGGGGACUUGGAGCCCAAAAGAGUGAGGAUGACACACUUGAGUGACAGUAACCUGGCAUCACGUGUCAG
rnacentral:lncRNA from 1 species